rnacentral:rRNA from 1 species
UGCCUCAGUAACGGCGAGUGAAGCGGCAACAGCUCAAAUUUGAAAUCUGGCUCUCGGGCCCGAGUUGUAAUUUGCAGAGGAUGUUUCUGGCGAGGUGCCUUCCGAGUUCCCUGGAACGGGACGCCAUAGAGGGUGAGAGCCCCGUCCGGUUGGUCGCUAAGCCUCUGUGAAACUCCUUCGACGAGUCGAGUAGUUUGGGAAUGCUGCUCUAAAUGGGAGGUAUACGUCUUCUAAAGCUAAAUACCGGCCAGAGACCGAUAGCGCACAAGUAGAGUGAUCGAAAGAUGAAAAGCACUUUGAAAAGAGGGUUAAAUAGUACGUGAAAUUGUUGAAAGGGAAGCGUUUAUGACCAGACUUGGGCCGGUUGAUCAUCCAUCGUUCUCGGUGGUGCACUCUGCCGGCUCAGGCCAGCAUCAGUUUGGCCCGGGGGACAAAGGUUUCGGGA